rnacentral:rRNA from 1 species
GCAAGUCGAACGAGAAAGUCUCUGCUUGCAGAGCCGAGUAUAGUGGCGCACGGGUGAGUAACACGUGGAUAAUCUACCUUUGAAUUUGGAAUAACUGUUCGAAAGGGCAGCUAAUACCGGAUAAAGUGUUUGGAUCUUUGGGUCUAUUCAUGAAAGAGAGCCUCUGUUUCAUGCUUUUGUUUGAAGAUGAGUCCGCGUACCAUUAGCUAGAUGGUGGGGUAACGGCCUGCCAUGGCUGUGAUGGUUAGCUGGUCUGAGAGGAUGAUC